rnacentral:sRNA from 1 species
GAUACCAGGGUCAAAAGGUUAUGCAUUUCAUGCUUGCAUGAAAAAGCAUGACUUUGGGACCCGUAAAACAUGAGAAAGUAGCCCGAAUAGGGCGGAUUUCGAAUGUUUUUAGGAUUGCGGAAGCAUGAAAUGCAGAGCAAUCCGU